GAACCCGUGAUGGGAAAGCGCUUCUUCUUUCCCAUCGCGGAGAGAACUUGGGAGGGGAAAUGAAUUCGAAAGUGGCCGAGAAAUCGUUUCAUCCGCCAUUAGUUAAUCUUCGGUUGGCGGUAUGAUUGUUGCUCGUCUACAC
rfam:Eucalyptus grandis cultivar BRASTZ1 unplaced genomic scaffold scaffold_5, whole genome shotgun sequence.